ACGAUGGUUGCCUGUUUGCUGACACAGUCUUAAGGUAAAGCCUGUGCAUAAAAUAUAAAGUAUGAAUUUCGAAAUUAUCUGAGUUUCAGUAAAAGUCCGAAUCCUGCACUUCAACGUCUAUUCGCACGGCAUGAUCCUUGGUACAGAAUAUUAAUGUC